CACACACCCCUCAUUUUCAGUUAUCGGCGAUAUCAAUAUUGUUUCCGUAUCCCUGGCCAGUGAAACUUGUAGGAUACCGAUACUUUGCUGCGAUCUUCUUCAAAAGGGGGGGAAAGGAAAAAAAUAAAAUUGAUAAUUGCUUUCGUUUUUUACCUCUGCCCAAUUGCAAAUGCUGAAAGCAUUGAACAAAACCCGGGUUUUAUUAUUUGACAUUGUCAUCUACCUAAAGGCAUUUAGAGAAGGACGCGUGGGUUGCUGUUGGAUGGAGAAGUGUUCUUCCUGCUGCUAAACACGUCUAACCUUAGUAGAUCUAUGGUAUUUUAGAUGAAGCAGAUUUCCUGGGUGAAAUGGGCAAGAGCAGGUCGGAGUGGUUUGACCGGUUGGAUCAGCAGCUGGACCAAGCUGCCUUUUAAAACGAAUUGAGGUAUGGUCUGGUUUUAAACUGAUUGAUAUGAGUUGCUUUGGGCAUUUCAGCUCAAAUGGGUCUGAGGUUGAAUCAUAUCAUUUUUUUUUUUGAAUCUGUUCUUUCAUUACAAAGGUCAAAAGACAAAUAGGAAAAAAGAAAUAUUGUCUGUACAGAAAUAAAUAAAUCCGCAAUUGUUUUUUUUCAUCACAAAUACCCCUUUGGUUCCACAUCCCUAUCAUGAAAUAAUGAAGUUUUGGCAUUUUGAACUA